rnacentral:rRNA from 1 species
UACGGAAGGGGCUAGCGUUGUUCGGAAUUACUGGGCGUAAAGCGCACGUAGGCGGAUAUUUAAGUCAGGGGUGAAAUCCCAGUGCGUCAACUCUGGAACUGCCUUUGAUACUGGUAUCUUGAGUAUGGAAGAGGUGAGUGGAAUUCCGAGUGUAGAGGUGAAAUUCGUAGAUAUUCGGAGGAACACCAGUGGCGAAGGCGGCUCACUGGUCCAUUACUGACGCUGAGGUGCGAAAGCGUGGGGAGCAAAACAGG